rnacentral:rRNA from 1 species
GAUGAACGCUGGCGGCGUGCCUAAUACAUGCAAGUCGAGCGAACAGAUGAGGAGCUUGCCCCUCUGACGUUAGCGGCGGACGGGUGAGUAACACGUGGAUAACCUACCUAUAAGACUGGGAUAACUUCGGGAAACCGGAGCUAAUACCGGAUAAUAUAUUGAACCGCAUGGUUCAAUAGUGAAAGACGGUUUUGCUGUCACUUAUAGAUGGAUCCGCGCCGCAUUAGCUAGUUGGUAAGGUAACGGCUUACCAAGGCGACGAUGCGUAGCCGACCUGAGAGGGUGAUCGGCCACACUGGAACUGAGACACGGUCCAGACUCCUACGGGAGGCAGCAGUAGGGAAUCUUCCGCAAUGGGCGAAAGCCUGACGGAGCAACGCCGCGUGAGUGAUGAAGGUCUUCGGAUCGUAAAACUCUGUUAUUAGGGAAGAACAAAUGUGUAAGUAACUAUGCACGUCUUGACGGUACCUAAUCAGAAAGCCACGGCUAACUACGUG